rnacentral:rRNA from 1 species
CCUACGGGUGGCUGCAGUGGGGAAUAUUGCACAAUGGGCGAAAGCCUGAUGCAGCCAUGCCGCGUGUGUGAAGAAGGCCUUCGGGUUGUAAAGCACUUUCAGCGGGGAGGAAGGCGUUAAGGUUAAUAACCUUGUCGAUUGACGUUACCCGCAGAAGAAGCACCGGCUAACUCCGUGCCAGCAGCCGCGGUAAUACGGAGGGUGCAAGCGUUAAUCGGAAUUACUGGGCGUAAAGCGCACGCAGGCGGUCUGUCAAGUCGGAUGUGAAAGCCCCGGGCUCAACCUGGGAACUGCAUUCGAAACGGGCAGGCUAGAGUCUUGUAGAGGGGGGUAGAAUUCCAGGUGUAGCGGUGAAAUGCGUAGAGAUCUGGAGGAAUACCGGUGGCGAAGGCGGCCCCCUGGACAAAGACUGACGCUCAGGUGCGAAAGCGUGGGGAGCAAACAGGAUUAGAUACCCGAGUAGUC